CUAGCACAUUAGACUAGAAUUGACUGACACAGACAGAAUCCGCGCAACAGACAUUGUUUCCCGCUCAAACCUCGCUGGAAUGAUGGCCACCGCCGAUGAUCCAGAAUACUGGACGCAACUGAUGGCCACUUACCUCCUCCACCCCGAAUCCGACCAUUCCGAUCAACUCCGCUCCAUUUCAUCUUCUCCCGAUUUCAAUCUUCAUUUUCCUCUCUACAUCGACUUCGCAGAAUUGUUGGAUUAUGAUCCUCGCAUUGCUCAUCUCAUCUUUUCCCAAUCCAAUACCUAUCUUCAACUAUUCGAUGAAGCUGCUCUUAGGACUCAUAGAAUUGUGUUAGGAGAAAUGGCUGGUGAUGAAAAGAAUACUGUGGUUGAGAAAAAGUACAUUCACGUUCGGAUUAACAUCAGUGGUUCUCCCCUUGAAUGCCCUGAGACUUUUCCGAGCAUAGGACGUGUACGGGUGCAGCACCGAGGGAUUCUUCUCACUCUCAAAGGGAUAGUAAUCAGGUCCGGAGCUAUCAAGAUGCAUGAAGGAGAGAGGAAGUACAUGUGCCACAAAUGCAAAAACAGCUUCACAGUUCAUCCCGAGGUGGAAGCUCGAAACUCCAUAUCAUUACCUUCAAUUUGUCCAAUUCAGAAGCCGAAGCCCUGUGGGGGUACAAAAUUCCAGUAUGUAGAGAAUACUAUAGUGUGCCAUGAUUAUCAGGAGAUAAAAGUCCAAGAGAGCACACAGGUGCUAGGUGUUGGUGCGAUUCCUCGUUCAAUUCUUGUCAUCUUGAAGGAUGACCUUGUUGAUGUUGUUAAAGCUGGAGAUGAUGUGAUUGUUACUGGUCUCUUAACGGCAAGAUGGUCUCCAGAGUUGAAGGAUGUGCGCUGUGACCUUGAUCCGGUAUUAAUAGCCAACAAUGUAAGGAGAAUCAAUGAAUUGAAGUCAGAAAUUGAUAUUUCUGAUGCCAUCGUUAUGAAAUUCAAGCAGUUUUGGGAUCACUUCAAAGACACACCUUUAAAAGGAAGGAAUGCUAUUCUACGAGGAAUCUGCCCACAAAUAUUUGGUCUUUUCACGGUCAAGCUGGCAGUUGCAUUAACACUAAUCGGAGGUGUACAACAUGUCGAUGCUUCUGGAACAAGGGUAAGGGGGGAGUCCCACUUACUCUUGGUCGGUGAUCCUGGCACUGGAAAAUCUCAGUUUCUGAAAUUUGCUGCAAAAUUGAGCAACCGGUCUGUUAUUACAACUGGGUUGGGAAGCACAAGUGCAGGAUUGACUGUUACUGCCGUGAAGGAUGGGGGUGAGUGGAUGUUGGAAGCUGGCGCCCUUGUCUUGGCAGAUGGAGGAUUGUGUUGCAUAGAUGAAUUUGAUAGUAUGAGGGAACAUGACAGAGCAACAAUACACGAAGCCAUGGAGCAGCAGACAAUAAGUGUUGCCAAGGCUGGUCUUGUAACAACCCUCAGUACCAAAACAACAGUAUUUGGCGCCACAAAUCCUAAGGGACAUUAUGAUCCUGAUCAACCUCUGUCUGUCAAUACAACCCUCUCUGGUCCUUUGUUAAGCAGAUUUGAUAUAGUCCUGGUGCUCUUGGAUACAAAGAAUCCUGAAUGGGAUGCAGUAGUUUCAUCUCAUAUUCUUUCUGAGGCAGAACCGGAUAGAACAUCCAAUGAUGAAGAUCUUGCAAAUAUCUGGCCUCUUUCUACACUCAAGAGGUAUAUACACUAUUUGAAAGAAAAAUUCAGACCAGUCCUUACGAGAGAGGCCGAAACAGUUAUAUCCAGCUAUUAUCAACUUCAAAGGAAAUCUGCAACUGAUAAUGCAGCUAGGACAACUGUCCGCAUGCUUGAAAGUUUGAUUCGCCUAGCUCAAGCUCAUGCAAGGCUGAUGUUCAGAAAUGAGGUGACUCGUCUAGAUGCUGUCACAGCUAUUUUAUGCAUAGAAUCCUCCAUGACUACCUCAGCUAUUGUGGAUUGCAUUGGGAAUGCUCUGCAUUCCAAUUUCACCGACAACCCUGAUCAGGAAUGUAUCCUUGCUGUCUUUCUUUGCAUAAAAUGUAGCUUUGCAUAAUUGUUUUGCUUCAAUAAACGACCAAUAUCUUUUUAAAGCAGGUGUAGUACAUAGAUCAAUUAUACCAUUGAGCUCUAUUAACAAACUGAAAUUUUAAUGAAACUGCAUAUAGUUGUAACUUCUAAUUUUCAUGUUUUUUUCCUCAAACAUAAUAAAGCAAUAUGGAUUAAUAGUGGUCUUGAGGACUUCUUUCAUGUCUUUAACUAAUUUAGUUUACAUGUAAAAUUCUGAUGUCAUCUUUUCACAAUGACCAAGCUUUCUCCUCCCUCUAGGUAGGACUGGUUACACAAAGCAAUUGGCAUUAUAAAAUCUUGUCAUGUAUAAGUUUAAAGAUGGACCAUAUUUCACUAAUCUCUCUUAAUAGUUUGUCUCAUAGUUUUUCAAGAUGCAAAGCAAGAAAGGUUGAUCCUAGAAAAAUUGGGAUGCAAUGACAACUUUUCUGAUAUGAAUAUGGAAGAUUGAAGG